rnacentral:snRNA from 1 species
AUCGCUUCUCGGCCUUUUGGCUAAGAUCAAGUGUAGAACCCAAUACAGGUUCAAGUAUUACAUUUAGUUUUCUUAAAAUCUCAUUUAAAAAUUUGUAGGCUUUACAAUUUUUAGCUCAUACAAAGAAUAGAU